UGCCCCCGUAGUUCAAUGGAUAGAACAAGGGUUUCCUAAGCUCUAAAUCCAGGUUCGAUUCCUGGCGGGGCAU
rnacentral:tRNA from 1 species